GAUCACCCGGAACACUAGCUGUGGGUGUGUGUGUCCUGUACUUGCAUCCUGUCGAAUCUAUGGGAAAUGUUACAUUUUACGUGUACUGUAAACGAAAUAUAUGUUAAGCUCAAAGUGGCCAUAUUCCAGCUGCGGAAUCAUAUAUAUAGCUAGAAGAAGAAAUCGCAAAGGACAAAGAAGGACGAGGCGUGGUUUAUUUUACGAUAAAACAUUGAAAGAUUACAACCAAAAGUGGGCAAGAUAUGACAAUCUGUAAUGGGAGAAAAGAAAAUUUCAACAUGAAAGGAAUCUGUGUAGCCGUGUGUGCCCUCCUGACCCUGGCGUCCGGCCAUCCUUACCAUCCACCACCAUCUUCAAACUACUACGGGAGCUUGGUUGGAGCAGGAGGACUGGGCGGAAUGGUUGGACUCUCAGUGUCUGCCAGCAGCUCCACGGGCCCUGCGAUGUCCGUAGUGUCCACCCGACCUGCCGCAUCAGCUGUAUACCCUGCUGGAACUGGGGUACUGUACCCUUCUCUCCCUACAGCUGGUACCCAGUGGUCAUAUGGCUCAGUAUAUGGUUCAAGGUACUCUCUCGUUCCAAGAAGGCCUACCAUCGAUUUCCCACCAAGGGGUACCGCCAAGGGCGGAUAUCGCCCAAGAUACUUUUAAAGAAGGCGAUAUGGACAGCUGUGACGAUAAAGGUUUAAGACAGAGUCUUGCUGAAUGGUCUCGUCCGUAUAUGGAGCAGCAAAGAAGGUUGAAUGAACAAUGUGUCUUGGAUGUCGAAAUGCAAUAAAUGGUGCUUCAAUACAUUA